rnacentral:rRNA from 1 species
GACGAACGCUGGCGGCGUGCUUAACACAUGCAAGUCGAACGGAAAGGCCCUGCUUUUGUGGGGUGCUCGAGUGGCGAACGGGUGAGUAACACGUGAGUAACCUGCCCUUGACUUUGGGAUAACUUCAGGAAACUGGGGCUAAUACCGGAUAGGAGCUCCUGCUGCAUGGUGGGGGUUGGAAAGUUUCGGCGGUUGGGGAUGGACUCGCGGCUUAUCAGGUUGUUGGUGGGGUAGUGGCUUACCAAGGCUUUGACGGGUAGCCGGCCUGAGAGGGUGACCGGCCACAUUGGGACUGAGAUACGGCCCAGCCUCCUACGGGAGGCAGCAGUGGGGAAUAUUGCACAAUGGGCGGAAGCCUGAUGCAGCAACGCCGCGUGCGGGAUAACGGCCUUCGGGUUGUAAACCGCUUUCGCCUGUGACGAAGCGUGAGUGACGGUAAUGGGUAAAGAAGCACCGGCUAACUACGUG